rnacentral:rRNA from 1 species
UACGAAGGGGACUAGCGUUGUUCGGAAUCACUGGGCGUAAAGCGCACGUAGGCGGAUUUGUAAGUCAGGGGUGAAAUCCCGGGGCUCAACCUCGGAACUGCCUUUGAUACUGCGAAUCUUGAGUCCGAUAGAGGUGGGUGGAAUUCCUAGUGUAGAGGUGAAAUUCGUAGAUAUUAGGAAGAACACCAGUGGCGAAGGCGGCCCGCUGGAUCGGUACUGACGCUGAGGUGCGAAAGCGUGGGGAGCAAACAGG